rnacentral:rRNA from 1 species
UACGUAGGGUGCGAGCGUUGUCCGGAUUUAUUGGGCGUAAAGGGCUCGUAGGCGGCCUGUCGCGUCGGGAGUGAAAGCCCACUGCUUAACGGUGGGUCUGCUUUCGGUACGGGCGGGCUAGAGUAUGGCAGGGGAGACUGGAAUUCCUGGUGUAGCGGUGGAAUGCGCAGAUAUCAGGAGGAACACCGGUGGCGAAGGCGGGUCUCUGGGCAGUAACUGACGCUGAGGAGCGAAAGCGUGGGGAGCGAACAGG